rnacentral:rRNA from 1 species
CAAGCAAAAUGAGUUUUAGUUUGAACCCCCGAAACUAAGUGAGCUACUUCGAAACAGUCUUAAGAACGAACCCGUCUCUGUAGCAAUAGAGUGGGAUGAUUUCCAAGUAGAGGCGAUAAACCUACCGCACUUAGAGAUAGCUGGUUGCUCAAGAAAAGAAUUUAAGUUCCACCUUAAGUUUCUUAAUUACAAGAAAAAUAAACAAAACUUAAGAGUUAUUCAAAUAGGGCACAGCUUAUUUGAAACAGGAUACAACCUUUAACACAGGGUAACAAUCAGCAACAGAUGCCAAGUAGGCCUAAAAGCAGCCACCUCCAAAAAGCGUCAAAGCUUAACACCUGGGCUAUUUAAAUGCCUCAAUACACCUCUAACCCGUCACCAAUAUUGAGCAAUUCCAUAAACCUAUGGAAGAUAUAAUGCUAGAACUAGUAACAAGAAAACUUUCUCCAAAAUGUAAGCCUAAGCCACAAUAGAUAUCCUACUGGCAAUUAACGCAAAUGAACAUACUGUGGCAACCCAACAAGAAAACCCCACAACCUCUAACGUCAACCUUACACUAGAACAUUUAUGGAAAGAUAAAAGAAAAAGAAGGAACUCGGCAAAACUUAGCCC